AAUUUUUUUUGGGCAAGAUUAAAUGUCUCUGUAUCCCACCUGAAUUGAGCCCUUGCAUUUGGUUUAUUCGCGUUGCCUACAAAACGUAGUUCCUUGGUAAGUCUCUUAUCUUAUUCCCUGGCUUUAGGAUUUCUCUACUGCAGUCUAUUUGAGCUUCCUAUCCUCUCCAAUAAGUCUCGUGUCUUCCGCAGGAAAGAGCUCAACCAAUAGAGUUCGAAGGGAUAUGCCCCAGUCAUUUCGGGUUAAGAAGACGUAUCUGAUCCUCUCUCUCUAUAAGAACGGUGCGUUCCGCGGUGUAAAGUGGGAGAGAAAGUAUUUCAUAAUUAGGAUUUUAAAGAAAUUAUAUAGAUAAUUUAUUUAAAUUUUUUUAGGCAAGAUUAUAAUAUGCAGCGCAUCUUAGGGUCUUUCCAACGGCUAUUUUUUAGCCUACAUAAAUCACGCAUUUUAUGGUGUAAGUGCGAUUACGGAUUUCGUGCAGCGAGACUAAUGACGCUGAAGUUCGAGAAAUACUUCAAUUGUUUUUUCCAUAAAUGUAGGUUCGAGAAGAAGUUGGAGGUCGUGUAGGCUGAGAACUCGGUAAGGCGCGAGAUGAGAGCUACAAUGGACGCGAAACUUGCUGAGAAGGACGUUGAGAUUGAAGUUGUUCGUGCUGAGCUGACACAUGAUCGUUCUGAAUGGCAACGUGACAGGAUAGGCAUCAUAUCAUCAAAGGAUAGGUACAUCGAGACUCUAACUGAAGAGUUGAAGGAAGCAAAUAUGAAGCUUAGAAGGUAUAUGGUGGUGUAAUAUUUAUGUACUAGUUAUGCAAUGUUGAAUAAAAG
rnacentral:lncRNA from 1 species